AGUGGCGGACGGGUGAGUAACGCGUGAGAAUCUGCCUUCAGGUCGGGGACAACAGAGGGAAACUUCUGCUAAUCCCGGAUGAGCCUUAGGGUAAAAAAUUUAUUGCCUGGAGAUGAGCUCGCGUCUGAUUAGCUAGUUGGUAAGGUAAAAGCUUACCAAGGCAACGAUCAGUAGCUGGUCUGAGAGGAUGAGCAGCCACACUGGGACUGAGACACGGCCCAGACUCCUACGGGAGGCAGCAGUGGGGAAUUUUCCGCAAUGGGCGAAAGCCUGACGGAGCAAGACCGCGUGGGGGAGGAAGGCUCUAGGGUUGUAAACCCCUUUUCUUUGGGAAGAACAAAAUGACGGUACCAAAGGAAUCAGCCUCGGCUAACUCCGUGCCAGCAGCCGCGGUAAUACGGAGGAGGCAAGCGUUAUCCGGAAUGAUUGGGCGUAAAGCGUCCGCAGGUGGCAAUGUAAGUCUGCUGUCAAAACCCAGGGCUCAACUCUGGUCAGGCAGUGGAAACUGAAUAGCUAGAGUGCCGUAGGGGUAGAGGGAAUUCCCGGUGUAGCGGUGAAAUGCGUAGAGAUCGGGAAGAACAUCGGUGGCGAAAGCGCUCUACUGGACGGCAACUGACACUCAGGGACGAAAGCUAGGGGAGCGAAUGGGAUUAGAUACCCC
rnacentral:rRNA from 1 species